rnacentral:tRNA from 1 species
GGAAGGGUGGCUCAGUGGUAGAGCGCCGAUGGUUGGACAUGCCAGAAAUCCAGCUGUCGGUCACCCCGCAAUGGGCUUCGCGUGGUUCAAAUCCCGCCCCUUCCG